GAUGAACGCUGGCGGCGUGCCUAAUACAUGCAAGUCGAGCGAAUGGAUUAAGAGCUUGCUCUUAUGAAGUUAGCGGCGGACGGGUGAGUAACACGUGGGUAACCUGCCCAUAAGACUGGGAUAACUCCGGGAAACCGGGGCUAAUACCGGAUAACAUUUUGAACCGCAUGGUUCGAAAUUGAAAGGCGGCUUCGGCUGUCACUUAUGGAUGGGCCCGCGUCGCAUCAGCUAGUUGGUGAGGUAACGGCUCACCAAGGCAACGAUGCGUAGCCGACAUGGGAGGGUGAGCGGCCACACUGGGACUGAGACACGGCCCAGACUCCUACGGGAGGCAGCAGUAGGGAAUCUUCCGCAAUGGACGAAAGUCUGACGGAGCAACGCCGCGUGAGUGAUGAAGGCUUUCGGGUCGUAAAACUCUGUUGUUAGGGAAGAACAAGUGCUAGUUGAAUAAGCUGGCACCUUGACGGUACCUAACCAGAAAGCCACGGCUAACUACGUGCCAGCCGCCGCAGUAA
rnacentral:rRNA from 1 species